rnacentral:rRNA from 1 species
GAUGAACGCCGGCGGGCGUGCCUAAUACAUGCAAGUCGAGCGAACGGACGAGAAGCUUGCUUCUCUGAUGUUAGCGGCGGACGGGUGGGUAACACGUGGAUAACCUACCUAUAAGACUGGGAUAACUUCGGGAAACCGGAGCUAAUACCGGAUAAUAUUUUGAACCGCAUGGUUCAAAAGUGAAAGACGGUCUUGCUGUCACUUAUAGAUGGAUCCGCGCUGCAUUAGCUAGUUGGUAAGGUAACGGCUUACCAAGGCAACGAUGCAUAGCCGACCUGAGAGGGUGAUCGGCCACACUGGAACUGAGACACGGUCCAGACUCCUACGGGAGGCAGCAGUAGGGAAUCUUCCGCAAUGGGCGAAAGCCUGACGGAGCAACGCCGCGUGAGUGAUGAAGGUCUUCGGAUCGUAAAACUCUGUUAUUAGGGAAGAACAUAUGUGUAAGUAACUGUGCACAUCUUGACGGUACCUAAUCAGAAAGCCACGGCUAACUACGUGCCAGCAGCCGCGGUAAUACGUAGGUGGCAAGCGUUAUCCGGAAUUAUUGGGCGUAAAGCGCGCGUAGGCGGUUUUUUAAGUCUGAUGUGAAAGCCCACGGCUCAACCGUGGAGGGUCAUUGGAAACUGGAAAACUUGAGUGCAGAAGAGGAAAGUGGAAUUCCAUGUGUAGCGGUGAAAUGCGCAGAGAUAUGGAGGAACACCAGUGGCGAAGGCGACUUUCUGGUCUGUAACUGACGCUGAUGUGCGAAAGCGUGGGGAUCAAACAGG